CUCUGAGGCAUGACGGUGAUGGCGGCAUCCAGCACUUCUUCCCUUCUGGUUCCUGCGCUGCGUGCCUCGGCCCUAAAGCUUGCAGUUCCCCUGUCUGAUGGUCGAGGCGGACGCUCCAUGCUGCAGGGAGCAGGCAGCCCUGUCCUGUGGUUUCUGCUGGGCCCCACAGAUCUGCCUGCAACUGCAACUCAGUUCUUUGUGCUGAAGCCAUGAAGCUUCAUCUGAAGCUGCGUUGGAAGAAAUCUGAGCCCACGGGUGAUGCUCUGCUGGAUCCCAUGAAGAUAAGACAAGCCUAGGGGCUUGCUGGGGGCUUGCAGAUUGCUCUACUGAUGCCAUCCAAGCCUGUCACGCUGUCCCAGGUGAAAUAGUGCUGAGUGCCCAGCAUGAAUUUGGCGAGCUCACUGCAGCUGGGAACCGUGGGGAAACAGUGAGUGAACAGCCACAACUGGAAGUCCCCAACUUGCCUGUGUGCUCUGCUGUGUGGUGAGGAGCUGCUCAGUGCAGGAUGCGCCCACAAGCAGUUUCCUGAGGAAGAAGAGAAGAUUUGGGUGGCUCAGCAGUGGGGUCUCCUGCUCUCCAGAGCACCCAGUGCUGGUGAGAAGGAGUGGUGACUGCAUACUGAUGUUUUGGGGGUACAUUUGCUUGUAUUUUCUACUUUGCAAGUUCAUGUCGCAUCGAUAAAUAAAAAUCUCUGGUAUUUUCACAA
rnacentral:lncRNA from 1 species